UUCCCAGGAUAAAUCUGAAGAAGUGGACCGACGUCCUUCUGCCUCCCUCUUAGGCUCCUUUUGUCAUGGUAAUUGAAAUGUGACAAACUCUGAUAACAUUUUGUUGGAAGAAAUCUGUCUGACUGACUGGGCCACAGCAUCCAAGUCACACAAAAAACCUUUAUUCAGAAAUAAACUAUUAA